CACACCUGUUCCCAUGCCGAACACAGCAGUUAAGCUCUCCAGCGCCCAUGGUAGUUGGGGCUUUGCCCCUGCGAGAGUAGGACGCCGCCAGGC
rfam:Sediminibacillus halophilus strain CGMCC 1.6199 genome assembly, contig: Ga0079860_111